UCUCUUUAUGUUAAUUUUACCUUUCCCAUGCAUGCUUUUAAUAUUUGCAACUGUUCUAUCUUAGUUUUCUAUUUAAAUAAGUUUUUGUAUUCAGAAGUUCAAGUUUUGAAUAUUAUUGAAAGCCCUUGAGUUUGAAUUAUAUUGUUUGUGUUCUUCUUCUUUCCAUUAUCCUACAUCACUAAGACGAGAAGUCCCACAACCUGCAAGAGAUUGAAAAAGAAGGUAUAUGAAGUAAUAAGUGUUGAGUUUGAUGAGUAUCAUAGACUAGUCGGCCAGUUUAUGAAGAACUUCAAGUCUUGCAUUGACACUUCGGUUCGGUUGCAUUUGGAUAUUAAUAUCAGUGAUUGACAUGAAGUUGACAAAGGAUUGAAGGAUACAAUUUGGGAUUAUGUUAAGCUAGAAAGUGUUCAACAUACAUGAUCAAUUGAGAGAAACAAUAUUAAAGGUUGUUGGGCAGCGGUGGAAGGUUUUUAAAACCAGAAUAGUGCACGAGUACAUUAACAAGAAGCACCCAAAAUAUGAAUCUCUAUAUGAGUUUUAUGAUUUCUUGACUGAAGCAUAAUGGAAUAUUUUUGAAGUAAAUCUCAUGAUUGAGGAGUUCAAGAAAAUUCCAAGUGCUAUCAUUGAUCACAAUUGCCUUGUGAAUUGUCUUGACUAUUUGGAAGGGCUUGAGAAGCUAAUUAUUUUAAUUUCUAUUUGCUGCACUGUAACCCUUAAAAUUGGUCUAUGUCUAUGUUUCAUUUCCUAUUGGAGAAGUUGAGAUUGAGUCAUUUGAGUGGGCUUAAAACUUGUAAUUGAUAUUGAUUUGCAAGGCUAAGUAUAAUUCUUAACACUUCAUGAUAUUGAUUACAUUCAUUUCAUGCAUUCUAUAAGGCAUCAAAUCCAUGAUUUUACAGUGAUCCUGGUGUCAAAGAGAAGGCUUUCAAAUCUUGUAGUCAGUCUUCAAGUAAUUGUUUUUACCAUUUUAUUUUAUGAUGCCAAAUGCUCUAGAUGACAAAUGCAUUGUAUUCUUGAAAUUGCUUGCAGAAAAAUCAUAUUCUUUAAAGAAGUUGCAGAACAGUUAUGCCUUUCCCCAACAGAUCAGAGAAUGCAAAGUUCUAUAACAGAGAAAUUAUAUUGGACUGAUGUUCUUCAACUUGGAGUACAUGGAGGCUAAGAAUUUGGGAGCCAUUACAAUUUAUAUACGGUAAAUCCUCCAACUCUCCAAGAAGGGAAAAGUGGAAUUUGCAAACAGUAUCUUGGGUGAGUCCAACUCAAGGAGAAUUCUGUAGACUAAGAUUCUUCGUUCUUGAAGCUAAUAAACUCAAGCAUUGGGCAGGUGAUGGUGAUUUCUCAAGUGAUUAGCCUUGAGAUGUUAUUGUUUGGAAGAGUUCCCUCUGUGUUUAACAGAAAAUUUGACCCUAUUGUCAAUUAAGUUGGAUCAGUGUAACACUUCUGUGGUUGCUUUUGCGAAGCAUAUUCGAGACUGGCAAGUUGAAAGGGGAAAUACCAUUUUUGAGCGAAGGGCUUUAGAUCCUGUAGUAAUUCUUCAGUCUUCUUGCUUGCAGGCACUCACUGGUUGGUUUCCAUCUGAUGAGAAUGCGUAUCCCAAAGCUAGCCAUGUGGGCUUUGUUCUUUGUUCUUGUCUUAGUAGAAGAUGGGAAAUGCUUAUGAACUUGAAGUAGUGAUGUUUCUAAGCUGAUUGAUUACUUGACAAUUAAGAUCAACAACCACUUUAAAUCUGCACCUAUCUUAGCUUGUAGAAAAAUUUCAAACUGGGAAGCUGGUAGUGCUCAAGCUAUCGGAGAUAUUGGUAUGUCAAUUAAAUACCGUUUUCAAAAUUUUUCAAUCUGGGAAGCUGCUAGUGAUCAAGUAUUAAAGAUCUAGAGGAAAGAAGAAUUGCUUCAUUAUUUCCUUCUAAUUGAAGGAUGUAUUUCGUUUCAACUAAAACUUUAAAUUCAUAGUGAGA